GUCCAUCCAAGUAGAGAUUAUUACGUUCGUCGUCCGGGCGACGGCCGUGAUAUAGAGUAGGUCCGGACGUAAUGAUUUUUUUCAUCCAAGAGAAACACUACUACUUAUGUUUACUAAGUCAAAAGUGCUCGUGAUAUACAUGCUCUUAUCUUUAUAUCCACCACAAGAUCACUAGGAUAGAUAGUAAAUUUUGAUGCAUCUCGACAUGUGAUCGAUAGCACUAGUGAGUUCUUUUUCUAUUCUCAUCCAAUAGUUCUAGAGAACAUUCACACCGCUGAUGGUACAAUACAACCUAUGAUUGAUAAAGUUACAACGAGAUAAUAUUUUAAUAGGCGCGGAUUGACCGGAGACUUUGGACUGACAUGUGACAUAGUGGACUCUGGUACUUGGAUAGAGAGGAGAUGAACUUAGCUUUGAUAUCCAUAGUAGAGAGUGUUAAAGUUGGAGGAUCUGGGAGGAGUAUGGAUGAUGUGUUGCUGCUACUUCAUAGACGCACGAGAUACUCUUUGUUUAGUCUAUU